UUGACCUCGGAUCAGGUAGGAAUACCCGCUGAACUUAAGCAUAUCAAUAAGCGGAGGAAAAGAAACCAACAGGGAUUGCCCUAGUAACGGCGAGUGAAGCGGCAACAGCUCAAAUUUGAAAUCUGGCUCUCGGGCCCGAGUUGUAAUUUGUAGAGGAUGCUUUUGGCAAGGUGCCUUCCGAGUUCCCUGGAACGGGACGCCAUAGAGGGUGAGAGCCCCGUCUGGUUGGACACCGAGCCUCUGUAANGCUCCUUCNACNAGUCGAGUAGUUUGGGAAUGCUGCUCUAAAUGGGAGGUAUAUGUCUUCUAAAGNNNNAUACUGGCCAGAGACCGAUAGCGCACAAGUAGAGUGAUCGAAAGAUGAAAAGCACUUUGAAAAGAGANUNAAAAAGCACGUGAAAUUGUUGAAAGGGAAGCGCUUAUGACCAGACUUGGGCUUGGUUGAUCAUCCGGCGUUCUCGCCGGUGCACUCUUCCAGUUCAGGCC
rnacentral:rRNA from 1 species